UUCGGCUAGGGGGCCAUCCCGGCUUACCAACCCGAUGCAAACUGCGAAUACCGGAGAAUGUUAUCACGGGAGACACACGGCGGGUGCUAACGUCCGUCGUGAAGAGGGAAACAACCCAGACCGCCAGCUAAGGUCCCAAAGUCAUGGUUAAGUGGGAAACGAUGUGGGAAGGCCCAGACAGCCAGGAUGUUGGCUUAGAAGCAGCCAUCAUUUAAAGAAAGCGUAAUAGCUCACUGGUCGAGUCGGCCUGCGCGGAAGAUGUAACGGGGCUAAACCAUGCACCGAAGCUGCGGCAGCGACACUGUGUGUUGUUGGGUAGGGGAGCGUUCUGUAAGCCUGUGAAGGUGGCCUGUGAGGGUUGCUGGAGGUAUCAGAAGUGCGAAUGCUGACAUAAGUAACGAUAAAGCGGGUGAAAAGCCCGCUCGCCGGAAGACCAAGGGUUCCUGUCCAACGUUAAUCGGGGCAGGGUGAGUCGACCCCUAAGGCGAGGCCGAAAGGCGUAGUCGAUGGGAAACGGGUUAAUAUUCCCGUACUUGGUGUUACUGCGAAGGGGGGACGGAGAAGGCUAUGUUGGCCGGGCGACGGUUGUCCCGGUUUAAGCGUGUAGGUGUGUGUUCCAGGUAAAUCCGGUU
rnacentral:rRNA from 1 species